rnacentral:rRNA from 1 species
GUUUAACCUUCGGGGGGACGCUUACCACUUUGUGGUUCAUGACUGGGGUGAAGUCGUAACAAGGUAGCGCUAGGGGAACCUGGCGCUGGAUCACCUCCUUAWACGAUGAU